rnacentral:lncRNA from 1 species
AGCACACCGCACAAUGGAAUCUCUCAGAGGCUAUAUCCAAGCAAAAUGGAUGUGGCGGAGAAGUUUAUUCAAGACAAUCCAUAGUAAGGCUUAACACACCAAUAUACACAUGAAGAAGAACUUCUUCGCAUCACGGAACAGAUGCAACCAGACGUAGAAAACCUAUUACUAGCAUUCGGGAUCGACAUUGCCACAAUAGGAGCCACAAGAGCGCCCACUCAUCCAACUUCUGAUGUAACGCAACCCGAUCCUGCACAUACAAAAACAAGAGCCAAUAUCAGUCAAGAGAUGAUGUAACUCAUGAAGGACCAAAUUGCAUUUGAGGAAAGUCACACCCUGAUAGAAUACUUGAGGAAAAAUCCUGGCCCAAGCAUACUCCACGAGUGGGCCACAAGAGUUCUACACAACUCCUACACCUCAACAACGAUGCUUGGGGGAGGUUACUUCAAAAUAUAAUUUAUGAGCAAACAAGGAAAACUACACAUGCUAUCUAAACCAUAUCAAUUCAACAACGAAGAUAUAUUAUUUUCCACCUGGAGAGCCGACUUCGACCUGGAAUCGGAAACCGACACGCACCAAACCUCCUCCCAAAUCUGGGCACAACUCCGAGGCUUAAGAAGGAUUUUUCGCACAACACAGUUUCUCACAGAAGCCUUUUCCACUAUCGAAGAAGUCAUAGCCGUUGACUCCACCAAAUCUUACCAAAACAAAGCUUCUGGUUCUAAGGUUCAGUUACCAGUCUAGGAUGUAGUCAACCUCCCACAUACUUCAGUUCUUCCCAAGAGGUGAACAUGAAUACCGAAUUGACUACAGUGUACUAUCCUCCUAGUGCAAUAGAUGUAGAAGUACUACACACCACGCUAAACACUGUACACUACCGUGGAGAGAAGAGCGCAAGAGAUCCAGAUAGAAAACCCCAACCUUGGAAAACUCGGUAACCGACAACCUCACCCAACACAGACAGACCAAUGGUGAAGAGAAAACAUUGAAAAAUGUAGGACCUAGGAAGAAGAACAGUGCAACUCUUCUACGCACCAAAUACAUCUGGGUAGAAAAGAAACCAACAAAAUCCACAGACACACAUGAAGGACCAGAAAAACCAUCUGAAUCAAUCAUAUACAACUCACCACAUACAAUUGAGCUUUUGGAGAGCUCUGGGAUCAGAACCGCCUUGCAAAGGAACAACUUAUGAGCAAAUUACAGUAGCUUUAGUUUGGUCAUCUCAAAACAACUUCCUUGAAACCCUGGUUUGCAAAGCUAGCGACACUCUGCUGUGCACAACACAACUGACUCACGUCCCAAAGGAGAAGGAUUGGUCAUCAUCAAUCGCUCAAACGCAUAUGGUUAACACCACAAUGCAAAAGCUCCAAACACAGAUAACCAAUAGAGGAAAUGGCCCCAACUUGCUCCGCACCUAGUCAGACGCAAUAUGGGUUUCAGAAUAGCUCAACUAAAAAUCUACUCACACAAACAAUUGGAUUACUAUCUUGCCAUACGACAAAAGCACCACAGCGAUCAAACAUCAAUAAACAAAGCACUGGAAGCAGAUACCAUCAUCAACAUCCCCCCCACAAGCUCUCAUACUAGAAAGGGUAAAGGAGAUAUCAUAUGGCCAAUGGUGUCAGACAAUCAUCCAUCUCCAAGAUUAACACACCCAGGAUGUGAACUCCUCUCCUCUAACUCACUUUGAGCAGAAACUCGGAGAGAACAACACAUCUAUUAUACAUGAAUGAUGGCCUAACAAUGGCCACAUACAACAUCCAGUGCUUAGGCGAAGGACUGGAUGGCGUCAGAAAAUGCUGUAAGCUUCGAAACUUAAUGCAAAAGACCUAUCUCAAACCCAACCUUAUAUUAUUACAAGAACAUCAAUUCAACCAUACUAACUGUACCAAACAAGCUACACAACUAGAUUUUCUACAAGGUACAAUGCUUUGGAACACCGUAGUGUACUCAGCACAAAAAGUGGCUUAGUUGGUGGAACAGCUAUUUUGGUAUCCAACAAACUCACCGAUAACCUAAAAGAACAUGGAGUGAUAGUCUGAGGAAGAGCGCAACGCUCCAUUUUCAAAAUCAGCCCCACAGUUCAAAUAGGCAUUCUAAAUGUCUAUGGUUACAGCCACACAGAACCCCGUGCAAGACUAUGGCAGAAAAUAGCAGACCACCCUUUACCAGAAGCCCUCUGGAUCAUGGGGGGCGAUUCUAAUUUUAUUGAGUCCCUCGAAGACAAGCAGGGUGGGAAUGCCAAUUUAAGACAAGGAACACAAGAAAUGACAGCAUGGAAUAACAUGCUCAUUAAACUAUAAGUUCAAGACAGUUUCCACAUGGGAGAAUUCUGCAAGAUUACCAAUAAACGCUUCACCUGGGAUAACAGAAGCCCAGCCCCGAAGACAGUACUCACCAAGCUAGAUAGAAUAUACAUUGGAGACAAACUCCAAGACUGAGGUGGACUAUGUGGAAUCUGGACAGCACAACCAAUCAUUUCGUAUUACACCCCUGCUUUCAUAAGAUUGAAACCUGCAUGCCGACCUCUACCCUAGAUGCAGUUCUUUGACAAACGACAACUAGAAUCAGUUGAAGGCAGACAACAUGUCACAGGAGCUUGAAAACAGGCCAUAUAAAACACUACAUAAACCAAAUGGAGCGAUAAAAUUGGCCUUACAAGCAGUAUGCAACACGAACCUAAAUAUUGCAAAAAAGAACAGACAGACUUGGAAAAAAUAGUACAAGAAUCAACUAAACCAGACACUCAAUGCCAAACUCCUCGUUCAAGAUAACUGAAAUGACCCAACGACGAGGGACACACUCAACACAACACAGCUAUAAUUACAAAAAAAUUGAUACAACAGGCUAGAAAAACAAUUCACAUUCCUUACAGUCAAAUGGACAAGAGUGAGAGACCGUUGCAACUCUGAGUUCUUUCAACACUACAGAGCUCGUCACUGCAAAGUCCGCAUCAAAGAAUCCAAUGAUAAGGACCGCAUUCAAAAGUUCCAGAAGCACAUGGCGCUUUAUGCACAAAGAUAUUACCAACAACUCUACACCCCAAACUCCACCGUUGAAUGCAAUGUAGACUCCGAAAGAGACACCUUAGCAAGCACUCCUAUAGUAGUCACAGAGGAUCACAACCGAGAGUUAGAACGCCCUAUAACUGCUGAAGAGAUUACAGCGGCAACGAAGAGUCUUCCUAGAAGCAAAGCCCCCAGACUGGACAAGGUACCGACCGAAUUUUUCCAAGAAUGUUGGAGGGAAAUUGGCCCCGACAUGGUGGAACUCAUCAAAGAGGUUCUCUCACAAGAAACAUUGCCCAAUAAAUUCAACACCAGCAAUGUAGUACUCAUCCCAAAAUCAGGUGACCUCUCUCUGAUCACAAACUACCACCUAAUUUCUAUUCUAAGCACAAUAUACAAAAUCAUAGCAAAAGCAUUGGCUAACAGACUAGUUCCUCACCUACCAAGAUGGAUUCAAAAAUCUUAAACAGGAUUUACUAGAGGAAGAUGUAUAUUUGAUAACGUCUUCCUAGCCACAGAAGCCAUGUCUUGGGCAGAAGAGAGCAAUCAGGACCUAGCCCUAAUACUUUGACAUUGAAAAAGCAAAUGAUCGCAUCGGUUGGAUUUUUUCGCAAGAUGCGAUGACACAAUUAGGUUUCUCCAACGAAUGGAUCACGUGGACAAUGGCUCUCAACAAUGAAGCUGAGGCAGUAAUAACCAUCAACGGAGAGCAAGGACAAUCCUUCAAGCUAGAGAGGUCAAUUCGCCAGAGGUGCCUCUUGGCACCCUACCUAUUUCUAUUUGCUGCCACCUUACUAGAAUAUGUGCUAGACGAUCCCAAGCACAACAUAGAAGGGCUCAUCCUAUCCAACCAAACCAGUCACACUAACUCUAUGUUUGCCGACGACACCUCACUAUUCCUCAAAAGAGAACCAAACAACAUGCAACAAACACUGAGAGUGUUAGACACGUACUAUGAAGCCUUCAGAGCUAAGAUUAACUGGCAUAAAACUCCGACAAUCUGGGUCUCCCAAAAAACACGAACCUUUAAUUGGAGAAAUGUGCAUGGUCUAACAUAGGUACGAACAGGAAUCCCAGUGCGCUACCUAGGCUUUCCAAUCGGAUUCCACAUGCCUCCAAAAGAGAACGGAGCCAAAAUCCUACAGCAAAUCAUAAGACAACUUAUCAAAUGGGGGCCCAAACAAUUAUCUUUAGCAGGCGAGAUAAUGAUCCUCAACUAAGUGGUCCUGGAUUCAAUAUGGUUCCUAGUUUCAUGCGCCAAUGUAGAAAAUAAAAUCUUCAAACAAAUGUGAUCUUUGGUAAGGAACUACCUAUUGUCCGGGAUCACCACAUGAACCACAAGAGCCAAGGUACAAUAGAAUACCAUCAUCCAAAUACUAACUCACGGAGGUCUAAAGGUCCUAGAACUUGAACUCCAAGCCAGAGCCCUCAUCGCAAAGCUGAUCACCUGUGGCAUGGCACCCGGAGUAGAACCAUAAAAAAUCCUACUUGGGCACUGGAUAACAGAAAUCCAAUACAGCAAGGGAGGAGAUUGGUACCAUAGCCCGCACUAGAUUACGGGAAACAAAAUAAAACUCAAACCCCAAGGCUCACCGUUGUGGCUCAAUGUGAGGUCAGUAUGUCAAGAAAUUCAACCUGGUCUGCAACAACAACCACCACAAUUUCUAGACAAACUGAUGUGCCAGCCUCUCUUCAACAACACACUGAUAAGAGACUCAAACGGAACGAUAUGGGGCCAAAACCUCCAGGACAAGUUCAAUCUAUGAACGAGAAAGGGAGUGCGGACUUGCGGGGACCUUUAGAACGCCACUUCAGAGGAUUGGCAUAUCGAGUCAACCCUGCAACACCGCACAGAAAGCCGCUUAAUUAAAGUUUAGAAAACCACAAUGCUCACAAACAUUCCAUGGCACUCGGGAAACAGACAACCUUACAUAGCCAUAGAGUGGUGGGCAAUUGAUACACAGGGAACCAUAGUCAAGAUAUUCUAUAC